CUGCCUGCUUGAGCAGCAAAGGUUAUUUCCCACCCUUGUACAACAUGUUCUAAUAUUUAAAAACAUUCAGUUGAAUUCCACAUCUCUUGUGCCCUUUAUUUUCCUGACAGCUUCUCCUGGACGGGAAGUACGGGAAAAUCCAAACGGCAGCAACCGAGCAAAGAGCCAGGAACCACUGCAGCCGGGGCCAGCCCUGGGUGUUUUGUUUAAAAUGCAACUUAGAGAGAGCUGUAAGACUAAAUAUGUAUUCUAACUGCUCUAACACUUAGUAGAACUCUAAGAAAAAGCAGUCUUGGAAGUAGGAAAUGCACAUCUGAAGGGAAAGCCGGAGCCGCUGCACAUCUCCCUUUCUUGGCUGCCAGGAGCAGCAAGGAAGUGAUUACACAGCAUUUAUUUGCAAAAUCACAGCCAAUAAAUCCAACAGCAGCAACACCCACCCUCGAAUCACUUGGUCCUUAGUGGGGGGGGAAUGAAGGAGAGGUGUAGGUCUGACAAACAGGCAGGUGCAUGGCAGGAGCUCCUCAUUCCGAAGCUUUUCGGGAAGACUUCAAGUCUAUAAGGUGGAAUAUUCACCCAGGCCUGUCCCUUUCCUCUGCACACGCUUUCUUGAAGCCCAGGAAAAUACAAAGCCCUAGAAAGGCAAUGAAGGUUGUGAUAAGAAAACCCCCUGAAAAGGUUUAAAAAAUAAAAUAAAAUAGGACUGGGCUGUUGAAUGAGGAAACGAGUAAGGGAGAGCAAGAGAAAAUAAAAUGGUACAAAAAAAGCCAUCUCAGUUCCCCUCCCCUUUCCUGGAUACAAAUACCAUCACAAGAAAACCGUAGGAAGCGAAUCUGACUGCUUUGAAAAUCACUGAGGUCAAAAGCACGAGAGAAGAAAGGAAAAAGGAUUAAACAAAGGGAUGAUAUAAUCUCCCCAGCCAUAAUUCAAACCUUCGAGGUAUAAAUAGCUCCACUACAGGGCUCAAGUCAACCACUAAUUUACAGAGCAAUCAGGAGGGGGAGGCAGAUACCCAUCCCCACAAGCAGAUUAAUCCUUAAUUGCUCGGUUUUUUGCAUUUCUGACACCUUCCUUUGAAGUCCCAAAGCCGGUUCCGUCUCACAAAAGGCACUGACGAGCCUGAAAAUUGGCGAGAGAUGAGCCUUGCUGCUGCUUGUUUGGGCCCCGUGCACAGUCCCAGAUGCUUUCCUGGGUCCUCCAUUCAAAGAAGAAAGGAGACGGAUGGAAUCCGCGGGGAUAAGGGACGAUCAAAGCCGGUGUUUGCCCGUUCGACAGAAAGGGAAGCGGGACUCGGCUGCGGGCUCCUGUUUCACAGUGUUUCUGCAAGACCUUAAUUGCAGAUAAAUACUUACUGGGACAAUUCAAUUGCUUGUGAGCACUUCAAUCGCUUCGGAGGCUUCGUGAAUCCCUCUAGGAAUGCUCGUAAGGACGGUGUGUACGAUGCCGGGAUGAGAGGAGCAGGAUCACCAGGAUCAUCUGCUUGGUGGGGACUGUGGCUUCCAGAAAGGGACACCCAACCCCUCCUCCAGUGUUCUGUCCUUCCCUCUCGAUUCAAGCUUGAUCCAAGGCAACAACGAUAAUGGAAAUGCAACUAUGCAGGAGUUUCUUCGGUCCCUGCACGUAUCCUCCCUCCAACUGCAUCAGUUUUUAGGGGAGAAAUUCCUUCAUUCUUCACCACACUGUGAACUUCUGCACUGAGGUUUAAGAGCACAUCCCUGGAUGGGUCUUUGAGAGCCCUGGUCUUCCUGUUCCCUUGUACAUCCCGUGUUCCCAGGGGGAAUGACUGAGUGUUUGGUGCUUUCCUAAUCAUACUGACUGUGUCCUGGCACCUCCUGCACAUCCUCUUGUGUCUAGUGGGUUAAUUAACCAUCCUGCCCCUGCUGAGGUGGGUCCUCACUGAAUUCCAGACUAUUUAACUAAAUAAAAAUAUCAUAACAGAAUCAAUGGUUUGGGUUGGAAGGGACCUCAAAGAUCAUCUUGUUUCAUCUCCUGACAUGGGCAGGAACACCUUCUACUAGCCCAGGUUGAUCCAAGCCCUGUCCAACCUGGCCUUGGACACUUCCAGGGAUCCAGGGGCAGCCACAGCUUCUCUGCCCAACCUGGGACAGGGCCUCCCCACCCUCACAGCCAACAAUUCCUUCCCAAUAUCCCAUCUAAUAUCCCCUCCCAAUAUCUUCCCUCUGGCACUGGGAAGCCAUUCCCCCUUGUCCUGUCCCUCCCUCCCUUGUCCCCAGUCCCUCUCCAGCUCUCCUGGAGCCCCUUUAGGCCCUGCCAGGGGCUCUCAGCUCUCCCUGGAGCCUUCUCUUCUCCAGGGGAACCCCCCCAGCUCUCCCAGACUGGCUCCAGAGCAGAGGGGCUCCAGCCCUGGCAGCAUCUCCAGGGCCUCCUCUGGACUCUCUCCAGCAGCUCCACGUCCUUGUGCUGUUGUUCCCAGGGCUGGAGCAGCUCUGCAGGGGGGAGGGUCUCACCUGAGUGGGGCAGAGGGACAGAAUCCCCUCCCUCAAACUCAUGUGUCCAGUAACUUGUCCUGAAUUGCUGCUGUCAGCACAGCUUUUCAAAAUCCAUCCUUCCUGCUGGCAGGGAGCAGGAGGGAGGUCAUCUCCCUGGAGCCUGGCUGCCAACUGCAGCCUUUGUGCCCAGAGCUGGGCCUGCGGUGGGAAGAGUCCAUCAGCUCUCUGAUGGAAUGGCUGCUCCUCCCCCUAACACUUUCCCUGUGCCCAAAAAUCCAAGAAGUGCCUCCAUAAGCCACUAAGGACAAUAAAUACAUGCAGAGACGUGUUGAUUCCGGUGUGAUGGGGCUGCUCUCCCAGGAGAACUCGAGAUGUUCUUUCCUUGCUCAGCGCCCGGCGCUGUACCCAUGAGAGGACGGAACAGUCCUUAUAAACAGUCAGCCAGGAGUGGGAAUGUGGGGGCUGCUCUCCCUGUUUAAGACAACAGAGUUAUCAUUCCCUAAAAAGAGGGGACACUUGCCUUCUCCACACUUCAUGGUACUUCCAUGAGAUCCCAACCAGCAGCAUCCAUACCAAGGCUGUCUUCUCUGACGCUUUACUUGCCUGCAAAAUUCUUCCCGUGUUUUUCCAUAUUUUAUAGCAACAGCUUCUCUGCUUUGCCUUUUGAUGUCAAAUUUCUCCUGCGAAACAGCUGGUUUGUCACCACCCCAGACCAGGGAGAAGCACACAUUUGGAUUUCUGCUGUGAAGUGCCGGGAUUUUUACAGUCGUUACGUAGCACUUUAAAGCCCCACGGGGCAGGAGAUGGAGCAGGAGGGAGCUGUGUCCCUGCACAUCUUUUACUAACAGGACAAAAGGCCUUUUACUAACUGUAAUAAAUUGGUUUGACGCUUCA